GGUCCCAUCGUCUAGCGGUCAGGACGCUGGCCUCUCGCCGAAGCCAGGGUUCGAUUCCCUGUGGGACCA
rnacentral:tRNA from 1 species